rnacentral:rRNA from 1 species
CUGGUGGGUGUCGCAAGACCCUCGGAUGACUUGUGGAUAGGAGUGAAAAGCUCAUCGAACCCGGAGAUAGCUGGUUCUCCUUGAUAUGCCUUUAGGGGCAGCCUCGUAGUACACCCUGGGGGGUAGAGCUACUGUUUGGAUGCGGGGGUCACCUCGACCUACCAAAUCCAGACAAACUCCGAAUACCCAGGCUUUGGCUACGGGAGUGAGACGGUGACAGCGAACUGCCAUCGUCGUGAGGGAAAUAGCCCAGAUCAUUUGCUAAGGUCCCCAAACUGUCGUUCAGUGGAAAAGGAAGUGCAGGUGCUUAAACGACCAGGAGGUUGGCUUAGAAGCAGCCAUCCUUUAAAGAAAGCGUAACAGCUCACUGGUCGAUGCACUUGUGCGCCGAAAAUGUAACGGGGCAAAACGACAUACCGAAGCAGUGAAUUCGUAUCCGUUCCGGAUACGAGUGGUAAAGGAGCGUUCCGUUCAGCAGUGAAGCGGCGACCGCGAGGUCCCGUGGAGCGAACGGAAGCGAGAAUGUUGGCAUGAGUAACUACUAGGCAGGUGAAAAUCCUGCCCGCCGAAUCCCCCAGGUUUCCCACGCAACGGUCAUCGACGUGGGGUUAGUCGGUCCUAAGGUCAGGCCGAAAGGCGUAGCCGAUGGAUAACAGGUUAAUAUUCCUGUACUUCGUGGAGAUCGCCCAGGGUUGCAGCAUGAGAGUCUUGCCGGCCUCUUUUCCCUUCGGGGAGAAUGUCAGCGAGAAAGGAUUGUUGCCGCCUAGGAGCGGCGUGACGGAGCGGGAAGAUCAGAGCGUGUGCAUUGACUGCACGUGGAAGGCGCGAGGCGUUGAUCCCGGGAGGUAAAUCCCCCGGGUGAGUCGAGCGUUUAUCCCAAUCACUCCCCGCGAGGGGGGCGAGUCUGUCCCUUUCUGCUUCCAAGAAAACCGUCGCAUCCGAGAGCUUCACGAAACCGUACCGCAAACCAACACCGGUGGGGUGGUCGAGUAGACCCAGGCGAACGGGUCACCUUGCGUUAAGGAACUCGGCAAUAAAGCACCCGUAACUUCGGGAUAAGGGUUGCCCUGUGGGAGUGAUCCCGCGGGGUCGCAGCAAAAGAGCUCAGGCGACUGUUUACCAAAAACACAGGUCCCUGCGAAGCCGCAAGGCUAUGUAUAGGGGCUGAUGCCUGCCCAGUGUCAGAAGGUUACCAAAGGGGGUGUAUGCCUCCGAUGUAAGCCCUGAUGAACGGCGGCCGUAACUAUAACGGUCCUAAGGUAGCGAAAUUCCUUGUCGGGUGGUCGACCCGGCUACGCUCUUUAAGAGCUACGCCGCGGUAUAAUGCUUGCCCGAAUGUCGCCGCAAGGCGCAGCACUGAGGAAUAUUCCAAAUGUUUUGGUACGUAGUCUCACGCAGAGACGCGUGAUGUCCUUCGCGACAAUGAAGGACGAGCUCGAAAAGAAGUUACAAUACAGGGUAAACCGAGUUUCAAUUAUUAAAGUGCUAGUACGAUCGUUCCGGCUACGUUCGCCGGGCUACGCUCUUUAGAGCUACGCCGCGACGAAACUACGCCGAGAUUUGCGACCCUACCUGGUCGUAUAUCAGUGCAAAACGUCGCUAUAUGCUGGAAUAUCCGAGAAUGGAGCACUACAUUGACACGUAAAGUUGUCGGUGUGACAAUGUGCCUCUUGCGCCGCAGUACCAGACGCUCCGCGUCGGUACACGGCAACGGACAAUCAGCAGGAAACUUUUCUCCCAUGAACAUGACUGAUAAAAAGGUUUAUGAUCCCGAGCAACCCGGAUAUGAUCCAGAACAACGAUUAGCAGAUGGGCUAGGAGUCACAAAAGAGGAAUUGAGUGAUGGGUUAUUUACGGGAAGAUACAGCAAAGAUC